rnacentral:lncRNA from 10 species
AGAGUCUCACACUUUCACCCAGGCUGGAAUGCAGUGGUGCGAUCUCGGCUCGCUGCAAGCUCCGCCUCUCGGGUUCAUGCCAUUCUCCUGCCUCAAUCUUCUGAGUAGCUGGGACUACAGGUGCCCGCCACCACGCCCAGCUAGUUUUUUGUAUUUUUAGUAGAGAUGGGGUUUCACCAUAGUAGCCAGGAUGUUCUCGGUCUCCUGACCUCAUGAUCCGUCCGCCUCGGCCUCCCAAAGUGCUGGGCAUUAGUGUCUUUUUAAACUUCCUAGAUAAUUCUAUUGUGUACCCAAGUUUAAGAACAGAUACUGUACUUGAUUUUUAAGGGGUCCUUGUUUAAGACUGAUUUUCAUCAUGGUCCAUGAGGAAAGAAACACCACAACUUUUAUAAGCUUGGAUCUUCUCAUUCUGAACCCAACUAUACAAAUUUCCUGUAGCUACAAGAACCAGCAUGGUUUGUGACUGAAAUGGGCUAUUGUUAAAAUGAUAUAUUACCCGUAAGCUCUCCCCGUGUACAAAAAUUUGUAACACUGGUUGACUCCUGUUGUAGAUAUUUUCUAUCUUCUCUGGUGCAAUGUAUUCUCCUUGGGCCAGCUUGAAAAUGUUCUUUUUACGGUCGAUGAUCUUCAGAGUUCCAUUCUACAUGAGACAGAUAAAAGUAUCAGUAUUUUUGAGCCACAGAGAUGAUAUCAGUGGGGAGAGUGGUGAAGUCACAGUCAUCUUUCUUCUCUAAAGCUGAUUUCUCCAGAGACUUUUGAGCUGUCUUUCAUUUCUCUUUCUUGGCUUUGGUGAAAGGGGAGGGAAGCAUCGUGCAGCAAGAACCUGUCUUUACUGUAUAUCUAUGUGGAGAGUCAAUGCGCAGCCUUAGAGAAAGUCUCCUGGAUCUACUGGAGUUAUGCAAAUUGAUGCCUCAUCCAAGGAAGAAAUUGCACAGCUCUCAAUUUCCAAUCACUAAUUUCCAAUUAGUUCAUUUUCAGAACUCUCAGAAAUAGAGGUGUUGUCUUUUGUUUAGACUUUUGAUUUGAUUUGAAUAGUUCUCCCACCACUUGACUCCCUGUUAUGUUUUCCUCCUUGUUAGAUCCGGGAGCAGGCUCAAACAGCUCCACUGUGCUAAUCAAGCAACUCAAUUACUGGGCUUGUUAGGACAGCAACAGGGCUGAGAGGACUCUGACCAGCCACCAAAGGUCAUUUGCAGCUUCAUUUCUCUGAACUAAUUGGUCUGAGGAGCUUAGGUCUUUAGGGAUUUGAAUUGUAGAAUUGGGACAAAUGGCAAAUAAAAUCCACAUGCUAACACCCUAAGUAGGGCGACUAACUAAACCAACACUGGAACUAUCACAAGGCCGACUUGAUAAAUUAGCCAUCAAUUCAGCCUAACGUUCAUUAUCUGAAAGUGAUUAAUAAGGUGCAGCCUUCUAUAACCCUGGUGUGGGGACAUAUCUGUUGCUUACAUCCUAGGCUUAUUAGAGUGUUAUUUAAUUCUGUUACUAGACAGAAACAAAUAUAUUAGCAAGAUACUACCAAACCCAAAUCAAUAAAAUGCAUCGUUAGGACCAGUGUUCUUAAAAGUUACAUUGUCAAGCAUUCCUUAAAUCUCACUUAAAUCUUAAAUAUUGAUUGAGCAAGAAAGGAGUUUUAAGUUCUAGUGACAUUCCCACUUCCCCAGCACAUAGUUAAGACAAAACUUUUGAGAGGGAAGAUCUUUUGGGAAAUCCCAUCACUGCCCUUGCAAUAAUUUCCUUUCUUCUUAGGAAAACUAAUAGCAACUACUGCUAAUUAUCAAGCUAUGCUAAAAAUAUGUCUCUGUAUCUUCCACAGAAAGGGGCUGUGAAGGUCAAUGAGAGACAAACACUAGCCUCUGCAAACACUUGAUUUAGAAAUCCUUCUUCCUUGUUUUGAUAUGCCUGUGAAUUAAUAGGGAGGAUAUUUAUCCCAAGAAACUCAUAAGAGGCAAAAGCUGUGGACCAACGGCAUUAUCAAACCAAAGUUUUUUGGGUUUUUGUUUUGUUUUGUUUUGGUAGACACAGAGUCUUGCUAUGUUGCUCAGGCUGGUCUCAAACUCCUGGCCUCAAACAAUUCUCCCUCCUCAGUCUCCUAAAGUGUUAGGAUUAUAGGCGUGAGCUGCCACACUUGGCUUCAAACCACAACUUCUGCCUCAAGAAAAGUUAAGGGGGAAAAAAAAAGGACAGAGUAGUACAUCUCCCUUCCCCUUUCCUAGAGAAGUCACCUAAUUUUUCCCUGGCUGGUAGCAAAUUUAUUCCAUUGCAGGGGACCCAUGCCAACUCUGAUGUGCAGGUCUACCUGACCUGUUAAAGAAUCCCACCUUCAGUUUGGGUCUAAAAACAGUGCUAGGAUCACUGACUUACUGCUUGCUGGUUGUAUAUUCGAUAAGGAAUAAGGCAAGAAGAAAACACUUCAACUGGUCUACAUCUUGGUGUCUUCUGUAACAGUGUGAUCAAAAUACCAAAAGUACUCUGGCAGUACUUCUGGUGUGGUAGCUUAUACCAGCAAUCCCAGAACUUUGGGAGGUCAAGGCAAGAGGAUUGCUUGAGGCCAGGAGUUUGAGUCUAUCCUGGUCAACUCAGCGAGACCCCAUCUCUAUAAAAAUUUUUUUUUAAGAAAGACUUUCUAGCUUUGGCAGCUCCUAUUCACACGUUAAAUUACUUUCUCAGAAUUUUAUAUUGUUGAUCCAUGGAAGAGCUGCAACCAGAACACAAAUCUCAUGACUUCCAGC